rnacentral:snRNA from 1 species
GCACUUGAGCAGCGCGUAUGCUAAAAUUAGAAUGACACAGAGAUUAGCAUGGCCCUUGUGCAAGAACGAUCCUCAGUUUGUAAAGCACUCUGUACUU